rnacentral:rRNA from 1 species
UGCAAGUCGAACGGUGAAGCAGAGCUUGCUCUGUGGAUCAGUGGCGAACGGGUGAGUAACACGUGAGCAAUCUGCCCCUGACUCUGGGAUAAGCGCUGGAAACGGCGUCUAAUACCGGAUACGAGCUGCGAAGGCAUCUUCAGCAGUUGGAAAGAAUUUCGGUCAGGGAUGAGCUCGCGGCCUAUCAGCUUGUUGGUGAGGUAAUGGCUCACCAAGGCGUCGACGGGUAGCCGGCCUGAGAGGGUGACCGGCCACACUGGGACUGAGACACGGCCCAGACUCCUACGGGAGGCAGCAGUGGGGAAUAUUGCACAAUGGGCGCAAGCCUGAUGCAGCAACGCCGCGUGAGGGAUGACGGCCUUCGGGUUGUAAACCUCUUUUAGCAAGGAAGAAGCGAAAGUGACGGUACUUGCAGAAAAAGCGCCGGCUAACUACGUGCCAGCAGCCGCGGUAAUACGUAGGGCGCAAGCGUUAUCCGGAAUUAUUGGGCGUAAAGAGCUCGUAGGCGGUUUGUCGCGUCUGCUGUGAAAACUGGAGGCUCAACCUCCAGCCUGCAGUGGGUACGGGCAGACUAGAGUGCGGUAGGGGAGAUUGGAAUUCCUGGUGUAGCGGUGGAAUGCGCAGAUAUCAGGAGGAACACCGAUGGCGAAGGCAGAUCUCUGGGCCGUAACUGACGCUGAGGAGCGAAAGGGUGGGGAGCAAACAGGCUUAGAUACCCUGGUAGUCCACCCCGUAAACGUUGGGAACUAGUUGUGGGGUCCAUUCCACGGAUUCCGUGACGCAGCUAACGCAUUA